rnacentral:rRNA from 1 species
GGACUAAAUCCGCCGCCUUACCAUGCAGUCGAGCGGGGAAGAGUAGCUUGCUACUUGACCUAGCGGCGGACGGGUGAGUAACGCUUAGGAAUCUGCCUAUUAGUGGGGGACAACAUCUCGAAAGGGAUGCUAAUACCGCAUACGUCCUACGGGAGAAAGCAGGGGACCUUCGGGCCUUGCGCUAAUAGAUGAGCCUAAGUCGGAUUAGCUAGUUGGUGGGGUAAAGGCCUACCAAGGCGACGAUCUGUAGCGGGUCUGAGAGGAUGAUCCGCCACACUGGGACUGAGACACGGCCCAGACUCCUACGGGAGGCAGCAGUGGGGAAUAUUGGACAAUGGGGGGAACCCUGAUCCAGCCAUGCCGCGUGUGUGAAGAAGGCCUUUUGGUUGUAAAGCACUUUAAGCGAGGAGGAGGCUACCGAGAUUAAUACUCUUGGAUAGUGGACGUUACUCGCAGAAUAAGCACCGGCUAACUCUGUGCCAGCAGCCGCGGUAAUACAGAGGGUGCAAGCGUUAAUCGGAUUUACUGGGCGUAAAGCGCGCGUAGGUGGCCAAUUAAGUCAAAUGUGAAAUCCCCGAGCUUAACUUGGGAAUUGCAUUCGAUACUGGUUGGCUAGAGUAUGGGAGAGGAUGGUAGAAUUCCAGGUGUAGCGGUGAAAUGCGUAGAGAUCUGGAGGAAUACCGAUGGCGAAGGCAGCCAUCUGGCCUAAUACUGACACUGAGGUGCGAAAGCAUGGGGAGCAAACAGGAUUAGAUACCCUGGUAGUCCAUGCCGUAAACGAUGUCUACUAGCCGUUGGGGCCUUUGAGGCUUUAGUGGCGCAGCUAACGCGAUAAGUAGACCGCCUGGGGAGUACGGUCGCAAGACUAAAACUCAAAUGAAUUGACGGGGGCCCGCACAAGCGGUGGAGCAUGUGGUUUAAUUUCGAUGCAACGCGAAGAACCUUACCUGGUCUUGACAUAGUAAGAACUUUUCAGAGAUGGAUUGGUGCCUUCGGGAACUUACAUACAGGUGCUGCAUGCUGG